GAUGAACGCUGGCGGCGUGCUUAACACAUGCAAGUCGAACGGAAAGGCCCUGCUUGCAGGGUACUCGAGUGGCGAACGGGUGAGUAACACGUGGGUGAUCUGCCCUGCACUUCGGGAUAAGCCUGGGAAACUGGGUCUAAUACCGGAUAGGAGCCAUUUUUAGUGUGAUGGUUGGAAAGUUUUUUCGGUGUAGGAUGAGCUCGCGGCCUAUCAGCUGGUUGGUGGGGUUAUGGCCUACCAAGGCGGCGACGGGUAGCCGGCCUGAGGGGGUGGGCGGCCACCCUGGGACUGAGGUGCGGCCCAGACGCCUACGGGAGGCAGAAGUGGGGAAUAUUGCACAAGGGGCGCCAGCCUGAUGCAGCGACGCCGCGUGGGGGAUGACGGCCUUCGGGUUGUAAACUCCUUUCGCUAGGGACGAGGCUUUUUGUGACGGUACCUAGAUAAGAAGCACCGGCUAACUACGUG
rnacentral:rRNA from 1 species